GAAUGAUCCGAUUGCAGCUGUUCUAGAGUCGACAACUCACUGAUUCAAAUGAACCGUUUAGUGCGAGUCUACAGUGAACUGAAUUCAUAAGUAAGCACUUGUGAGCGCGCGCGCGUCUGAUGCUGUUAAAGACAUCAUUUGGAAGUGCUGCCUGGAUGGUUACAGAGAAAACUGCUGAUGGUCCAAUCAAGAAAGGAGAGCAGAUGUUGACUGACUGACUGGACAAUCAGGAGAAACAUUUGAGAAGCAGGAAACUUAGGCAACAGUCUCUGAUCUUCAGAACUUUAAAGCUGACAUUUCUGCAGGUCAUUGCAGUCAGAGGGUUAGAAGUUUCCUGAAUGCAAGGCCCUUUGCGUCUUUGAGCAAAACGGAGUACUUGGUUGUUUGCUGCAGAUUAUACUUACAGUUUAUUGUGAUUUGAGAAAGAUCUCUGCAUCUCUGCAAAUGGGUGGCUGUGCCAAAUAGAGGAUUAAGGAGUAGCUGAGAGAGAAGUUCGCCUGAUGGGAAGUUUUAAUUGCCUGCCUUUUUUUCUCUCUGUCUGUAACCUUUCACUGCUCUAAUUAGUCAACAGGUUCAAUCUCAUACUUGCUGUAAUCACCCUUAAAGCCUGUCUCUGCCCACUCUUUUAACACUGUGAUGUAACAGACUGCAAGUUAGAAAGUGGACU